CCUACGGGUGGCUGCAGUGGGGAAUUUUGCGCAAUGGGCGAAAGCCUGACGCAGCAACGCCGCGUGAGUGAUGAAGGCUUUCGGGUCGUAAAGCUCUGUCAAUGGGAAAGAAGUGUAUUGUAGCUAAUAUCUGCGAUACUUGACGGUACCCAUAAAGGAAGCACCGGCUAACUCCGUGCCAGCAGCCGCGGUAAUACGGGGGGUGCAAGCGUUGUUCGGGAGUGUGUGGCGUGUUGCGCGAGUAGGAUGUGAAAGCCCUGGGCUCAACCCAGGAAGUGCAGUGGAAACUGGCAGACUUGAAUACGGGAGAGGGUAGUGGAAUUCCUGGUGUAGGAGUGAAAUCCGUAGAUAUCAGGAGGAACACCGGUGGCGAAGGCGGCUGCCUGGACCGAUAUUGACGCUGAGACGCGAAAGCGUGGGUAGCAAACAGGAUUAGAUACCCUGGUAGUC
rnacentral:rRNA from 1 species